rnacentral:rRNA from 13 species
GUGAACAGCAGUUGGACAUGGGUUAGUCGAUCCUAAGGUAUAGGGAAGUUCCGUUUUAAAGGUGCCCUCGUGCACCGUGUACCGAAAGGGAAGCCGGUUAACAUUCCGGCACCUAGAUGUGGAUUCUCCACGGCAACGUAACUGAACGCGGAGACGUCGGCGGGGGUCCUGGGAAGAGUUCUCUUUUCUUCUUGACAGCCUAUCACCCUGAAAUCGGUUUGU